rnacentral:piRNA from 1 species
UGGUAGGUCCAGAUAGAAGGGUCA